rnacentral:rRNA from 1 species
CCUACGGGAGGCACCAGUGGGGAAUAUUGCACAAUGGGCGAAAGCCUGAUGCAGCAACGCCGCGUGAGCGAUGAAGGCCUUCGGGUCGUAAAGCUCUGUCCUCAAGGAAGAUAAUGACGGUACUUGAGGAGGAAGCCCCGGCUAACUACGUACCAGCAGCCGCGGUAAUACGUAGGGGGCUAGCGUUAUCCGGAAUUACUGGGCGUAGAGGGUGCGUAGGUGGUUUCUUAAGUCAGAGGUGUAAGGCUACGGCUCAACCGUAGUAAGCCUUUGAAACUGGGAAACUUGAGUGCAGGAGAGGAGAGUGGAAUUCCUAGUGUAGCGGUGAAAUGCGUAGAUAUUAGGAGGAACACCAGUUGCGAAGGCGGCUCUCUGGACUGUAACUGACACUGAGGCACGAAAGCGUGGGGAGCAAACAGGAUUAGAUACCCGAGUAGUC